rnacentral:lncRNA from 1 species
AUGUUCUAACUCCUUUGGAGAUGGAAAGAUUUUUCGAUGCAACUGUAUGAGACCAAAAUUUGGGAAGCUUUGAGUAAGAACUAUAUCCGCAGGGAAGACCGAGAAUGGGUGAUUAUCACUAUCAAUUCUUGGUUAUCUUCAAAUUAGUGGUGUACCAUAAUCUUCGCUGAUCAGUCUUGUCCUGCUCUACUUGUUUUAUUUAAGUUCCUGGAAAGAAAAUUGGAAUUGUAUCUAUGUUCACUUACACGAGCAAUUCAAGCAUUUCAAAAUGUUUGGGUAAUUUAUUACUUUUUUCGAAGA